rnacentral:rRNA from 1 species
UGGGGAAUUUUGGACAAUGGGCGAAAGCCUGAUCCAGCAAUGCCGCGUGUGUGAAGAAGGCCUUCGGGUUGUAAAGCACUUUUGUCCGGAAAGAAAUCCUUGGCUCUAAUACAGUCGGGGGAUGACGGUACCGGAAGAAUAAGCACCGGCUAACUACGUGCCAGCAGCCGCGGUAAUACGUAGGGUGCAAGCGUUAAUCGGAAUUACUGGGCGUAAAGCGUGCGCAGGCGGUUUGCUAAGACCGAUGUGAAAUCCCCGGGCUCAACCUGGGAACUGCACUGGUGACUGGCAGGCUAGAGUAUGGCAGAGGGGGGUAGAAUUCCACGUGUAGCAGUGAAAUGCGUAGAGAUGUGGAGGAAUACCGAUGGCGAAGGCAGCCCCCUGGGCCAAUACUGACGCUCAUGCACGAAAGCGUGGGGGAGCAAACAGGAUUAGAUACCCUGGUAGUCCACGCCCUAAACGAUGUCAACUAGUUGUUGGGGACUUCAUUUCCUUAGUAACGUAGCUAACGCGUGAAGUUGACCGCCUGGGGGAGUACGGUCGAAAGAUUAAAACUUAAAGGAAUUGACGGGGU